rnacentral:rRNA from 1 species
GACGAACGCUGGCGGCGUGCCUAAUACAUGCAAGUAGAACGCUGAAGAGAGGAGCUUGCUCUUCUUGGAUGAGUUGCGAACGGGUGAGUAACGCGUAGGUAACCUGCCUUGUAGCGGGGGAUAACUAUUGGAAACGAUAGCUAAUACCGCAUAACAAUAGGUGACACAUGUCAUUUAUUUGAAAGGGGCAAUUGCUCCACCACAAGAUGGACCUGCGUUGUAUUAGCUAGUAGGUGAGGUAACGGCUCACCUAGGCGACGAUACAUAGCCGACCUGAGAGGGUGAUCGGCCACACUGGGACUGAGACACGGCCCAGACUCCUACGGGAGGCAGCAGUAGGGAAUCUUCGGCAAUGGGGGCAACCCUGACCGAGCAACGCCGCGUGAGUGAAGAAGGUUUUCGGAUCGUAAAGCUCUGUUGUAAGUCGAGAACGAGUGUGAGAGUGGAAAGUUCACACUGUGACGGUAGCUUACCAGAAAGGGACGGCUAACUACGUGCCAGCAGCCGCGGUAAUACGUAGGUCCCGAGCGUUGUCCGGAUUUAUUGGGCGUAAAGCGAGCGCAGGCGGUUUGAUAAGUCUGAAGUUAAAGGCUGUGGCUCAACCAUAGUUCGCUUUGGAAACUGUCAAACUUGAGUGCAGAAGGGGAGAGUGGAAUUCCAUGUGUAGCGGUGAAAUGCGUAGAUAUAUGGAGGAACACCGGUGGCGAAAGCGGCUCUCUGGUCUGUAACUGACGCUGAGGCUCGAAAGCGUGGGGAGCGAACAGGAUUAGAUACCCUGGUAGUCCACGCCGUAAACGAUGAGUGCUAGGUGUUGGAUCCUUUCCGGGAUUCAGUGCCGCAGCUAACGCAUUAAGCACUCCGCCUGGGGAGUACGACCGCAAGGUUGAAACUCAAAGGAAUUGACGGGGGCCCGCACAAGCGGUGGAGCAUGUGGUUUAAUUCGAAGCAACGCGAAGAACCUUACCAGGUCUUGACAUCCCGAUGCUAUUUCUAGAGAUAGAAAGUUACUUCGGUACAUCGGUGACAGGUGGUGCAUGGUUGUCGUCAGCUCGUGUCGUGAGAUGUUGGGUUAAGUCCCGCAACGAGCGCAACCCCUAUUGUUAGUUGCCAUCAUUCAGUUGGGCACUCUAGCGAGACUGCCGGUAAUAAACCGGAGGAAGGUGGGGAUGACGUCAAAUCAUCAUGCCCCUUAUGACCUGGGCUACACACGUGCUACAAUGGUUGGUACAACGAGUUGCGAGUCGGUGACGGCAAGCUAAUCUCUUAAAGCCAAUCUCAGUUCGGAUUGUAGGCUGCAACUCGCCUACAUGAAGUCGGAAUCGCUAGUAAUCGCGGAUCAGCACGCCGCGGUGAAUACGUUCCCGGGCCU